CCUGCUGGACUUAAACAUAUAUGUCAGCAGGGGAAAAUAACAAAAAUUCCCUCUAAUAGUGGCAAGUGAACUGGGAAGAACCUAGUGCUGAAUCCUUGCCCGGUGGUCAGGCAUGGAAAAUGUGAUGUACGGAAGACUCACUCCUUGGCACAGCUCAGGCCCAAGUGCUGAUGGAGAAUGUGAACAGUGUGAGACUGGUAGCAGGGCUGGUGUACCACGCUCAGAUCUUCCUGGAGUUGGGUUGCUUGGGAAUGCAUGGGUGGUAAAUUCAAUCAAGGGCUAAAUACCAACCCAAGACAGAUAGUCAACAAAUACCAUAUGG
rnacentral:ncRNA from 1 species